AACGAACGCUGGCGGCAGGCUUAACACAUGCAAGUCGAACGCAUCCUUCGGGGUGAGUGGCAGACGGGUGAGUAACGCGUGGGAACGUGCCCUUCAGUUCGGAAUAACCCAGGGAAACUUGGGCUAAUACCGGAUACGUGCGAGAGCAGAAAGAUUUAUCGCUGAAGGAUCGGCCCGCGUCUGAUUAGCUAGUUGGUGAGGUAAUGGCUCACCAAGGCGACGAUCAGUAGCUGGUCUGAGAGGAUGAUCAGCCACACUGGGACUGAGACACGGCCCAGACUCCUACGGGAGGCAGCAGUGGGGAAUAUUGGACAAUGGGCGCAAGCCUGAUCCAGCCAUGCCGCGUGAGUGAUGAAGGCCUUAGGGUUGUAAAGCUCUUUCGCACGCGACGAUAAUGACGGUAGCGUGAGAAGAAGCCCCGGCUAACUUCGUGCCAGCCGCCGCCGUAAUAC
rnacentral:rRNA from 1 species